AUUGAACGCUGGCGGCAGGCUUAACACAUGCAAGUCGAGCGAGCGGCGGACGGGUGAGUAAUGUCUGGGAAACUGCCUGAUGGAGGGGGAUAACUACUGGAAACGGUAGCUAAUACCGCAUACCAUCUGAUGUGCCCAGAUGGGAUUAGCUAGUAGGUGGGGUAAUGGCUCACCUAGGCGACGAUCACUAGCUGGUCUGAGAGGAUGAUCAGCCACACUGGUAAUGGGACAAGGACAAGAGGCCUACGGGAGGCAGCAGGGGGGAAUAUUGCACAAGAGGCGCAAGCCUGAUGCAGCCAUGCCGCGUAUGUGAAGAAGGCCUUCGGGUUGUAAAGCACGUUCAGCGAGGAGGCGUUACUCGCAGAAGAAGCACCGGCUAACUCCGUGCCAGCAGCCGCGGUAAUAC
rnacentral:rRNA from 1 species